UACAGGGGGUGCAAACGUUGCUCGGAAUCAUUGGGCGUAAAGCGCACGUAGGCGGUUUGUUAUGUCGGAUGUGAAAGCCCUUGGCUCAACUGAGGAAGUGCAUCCGAAACUGGCAAGCUAGAGUACUAAAGAGGGUCGCGGAAUUCCCGGUGUAGAGGUGAAAUUCGUAGAUAUCGGGAGGAACACCAGUGGCGAAGGCGGCGACCUGGGCCAAUACUGACGCUGAGGUGCGAAAGCGUGGGGAGCAAACAGG
rnacentral:rRNA from 1 species